UCUGCCCGCUGGCGGCGUGCCUAAUACAUGCAAGUCGAGCGAACAGACGAGGAGCUUGCUCCUCUGACGUUAGCGGCGGACGGGUGAGUAACACGUGGAUAACCUACCUAUAAGACUGGUAUAACUUCGGGAAACCGGAGCUAAGACCGUAGAAGAUAUUGAACCGCAUGGUUCAAUAGAGAAAUACGGUUUUGUUGGCACGUGUAGAUGGAUACGCGGCUCAUUAUCUAGUUGGUAAGUUCAGGGCAUACCAAGGCGACGACGCGUAGCCGACCUGAGAGGGUGACCGGCCACAUGGGGACUGAGAGACGGCCCAGACUCCUACGGGAGGCAGUAGUGGUGAAUAUUGCACAAUGGGCGGAAGCCUGAUGCAGCAACGCCGCGGGCGGGAUGACGGCCUUCGGGUGGUAAACCGCUUUCGCCUGUGACGAAGCGUGAGUGAGGGUAAGGGGUAAAGAAGCACCGGCUAACUACGUG
rnacentral:rRNA from 1 species